AUGCCAAAGCAUAAUGUCGCGAAAAGAGUUCUUCAGCCUAAUUACGAAAAACAGCACAGCAUAAUGGAGAAUCCGACCACCCGACGAGCGACAAAGAGAGCAGAAGUUGAAAAAACUCCAAUUUAUUGCCACAGUUAUUGAGCAGUUCCAAAUAGAAGUCUAAAAUCGUACGAUGGCGAUGGUCUUGAAAUCCAAUAAGAAAAAAAAAACGCAAUCUUCUCGCUUGUAAUCGACUGGGGUACCUAACCGGGGACGGCUUAUUAGUUCCCAAAAUGACAAGCAAGCAUAUUCUCCAGCAGGGCCACCCUGUAAAAAAAAGAGUAUCAUCUCAAGAUUACAGAAGACAGACAUUGAAGUUUUACGAUUCUCAGCGUGAAGAAAAGAAAAGUAAAUAGUUAAAGAAAUGUGAAGGAAUGAGCCGUGUAAAAAAAGUGGUAAGAAGAAAAUUGAGCUAUCAGGCCGAAGAUUGGCAGCAAUCUCGCUUGUAUAAGAUUGGCAAGAAAGGAAAAGAGAAAGAGAAACAGUGAAUGAGCGACGAGUCAAGAGAGACAAAGGAGGAUGAAGAGAGGCGUCAGAUAAAAGACAAUAACCAGACGAGACGUGGCUUCAAACUUGGGUAAACAGUGAAAUCUCAGAAAGCGAAGGAAAAGGGUACGUAACAAACACGAAUGGAAUGAACAAAUGAUAACGAAUGAAUGAAGAAAGAAAGGACGGAAGGAAGGAAGGAAGGAAGGAUGGAAUGAGCGGAGGAAGCCACCGGCCUUGUUUCAUUGCCUCGAGGAUGGCGCAGUCUGUUCGUGAAUUGCUUGCGGCUGUAGCCAUAGCAGAAUCUCGCGAGAUGACAAAGGGGAAUCACGUGCUGGGACCACGAAGACGGGGUACAGGUAACGGACAGACAGGGUGGAGUACUGGAAAAUGUAUGACCGGG